rnacentral:rRNA from 1 species
UACGUAGGUGGCAAGCGUUGUCCGGAUUUAUUGGGUUUAAAGGGUGCGUAGGCGGCUAUCCAAGUCAGUGGUGAAAGCCCGGAGCUCAACUCCGGAACUGCCAUUGAAACUGUUUAGCUUGAGGACGAGAGAGGUGAGUGGAAUUCCCAGUGUAGAGGUGAAAUUCGUAGAUAUUGGGAAGAACACCAGUGGCGAAGGCGGCUCACUGGCUCGUAUCUGACGCUCAGGCGCGAUAGCGUGGGGAUCAAACAGG